UAUCAUAGCCAUAUCUACCUGCUGCUCAAGACCGGUUACUCACUGAAGCUAAGCAAGGCUGGGCCUGGUCAGUACCUGGAUGGGAGACCCAAUGGGAAAACUAGGUUUCUGUUGGAA
ensembl:rRNA 5S_rRNA 5S ribosomal RNA